CCCCGGGAGGGGAGUGAAAUAGAACCUGAAACCGCAUGCAUACAAACAGUAGGAGCCUCAUCAGAGGUGACUGCGUACCUUUUGCAUAAUGGGUCAGCGACUUACAUUCUGUGGCGAGCUUAACCGAAUAGGGGAGGCGCAGCGAAAGCGAGUUCGAAAUGAGCGUCCAGUCGCAGGGUGUAGACCCGAAACCAGAUGAGCUAUCCAUGGCCAGGUUGAAGGUGUGGUAACACACACUGGAGGACCGAACCGACUAGUGUUGCAAAAUUAGCGGAUGAGCUGUGGAUAGGGGUGAAAGGCCAAACAAAUCUGGAGAUAGCUGGUUCUCCCCGAAAACUAUUGAGGUAGUGCCUCGUGUGUCGCUCCAGGGGGUAGAGCACUGUUUUGGCUAGGGGGACAUGGAGUCUUACCAAACCAAGGCAAACUCCGAAUACCUGGAAGCGUGAGCACGGGAGACAGAGCACCGGGUGCUAACGUCCGGACUCAAAAGGGAAACAACCCAGACCGCCGGCUAAGGUCCCAAAUAACAGCUAAGUGGAAAACGAAGUGGAAAGGCCGUGACAACCAGGAAGUUGGCUUAGAAGCAGCCAUCCUUCAAAGAAAGCGUAAUAGCUCACUGGUCGAGUCCUUCUGCGCGGAAGAUGUAACGGGGCUAAGCUGUUAACCGAAGCCGCGGAUGCGCUGGUUAUCCAGUGCGUGGUAGGGGAGCGUUCUGUAAGUCUGCGAAGGCGGUUCGAGAGGACUGCUGGAGAUAUCAGAAGUGCGAAUGCUGACAUGAGUAACGUUAAAGCAGGUGAAAAGCCUGCUCGCCGUAAGCCCAAGGAUUCCUGCUCUACGUUCAUCGGAGCAGGGUGAGUCGGCUCCUAAGGUCAGGCCGAAAGGCGUAGCCGAUGGGAAUCAGGUUAAUAUUCCUGAACCUGCGUCAGAUGCGAUGGGGGGACGGAGCAUGGAAGAUCAUCCGGGUGUUGGAAGUCCCGGUUGUUGAGCGUAGGAGGUCUGCAGGCAAAUCCGCAGACGCAUCUCCAAGGCAAAGACACGUGCCGCCACGGCGGCGAAGUGAUCGGAAGUGCUUCCAAGAAAAGCCUCUAAGCACCAGUCUGAUGCGGACCGUACCGCAAACCGACACUGGUGGGCGAGCUGAAUAUGCUCAGGCGCUUGAGAGAACUCGGGAGAAGGAACUCGGCAAAUUGACCCCGUAACUUCGGAAGAAGGUGUGCCGUAGUACCGUGAGAGGAGAGACACCUUGAGCGGGAAACGGUCUCAGAGAAUAGGUGGCUGCGACUGUUUAUUAAAAACACAGCACUCUGCAAAGUCGAAAGACGACGUAUAGGGUGUGAUGCCUGCCCGGUGCUGGAAGAUUAAUUGAUGGGGUGAGAGCCCUUGAUCGAAGUCCCAGUAAACGGCGGCCGUAACUAUAACGGUCCUAAGGUAGCGAAAUUCCUUGUC
rnacentral:rRNA from 1 species